rnacentral:rRNA from 1 species
UACGGGGGGGGCAAGCGUUGUUCGGAAUUACUGGGCGUAAAGGGCUCGUAGGUGGCCAACUAAGUCAGACGUGAAAUCCCUCAGCUUAACUGGGGAACUGCGUCUGAUACUGGAUGGCUUGAGUUUGGGAGAGGGAUGCGGAAUUCCAGGUGUAGCGGUGAAAUGCGUAGAUAUCUGGAGGAACACCGGUGGCGAAUGCGGCAUCCUGGACCAACACUGACACUGAGGAGCGAAAGCCAGGGGAGCAAACGGG